AAAAACAUGUCUGUUUGAAGAUAUAAAGAGUCUAACCUGCCCACUGAAUAUAUUUAAGGGCCGCGGUAUUUUGACUGUGCAAAGGUAGCAUAAUCGUUAGUUUUUUAAUUGGAAUCUUGUAUGAAUGGUUGGACAAAAGAAAAACUGUCUCUAUAUUAUAAAUUGAAUUUAACUUUUAAGUGAAAAGGCUUAAAUAAAUUAGAGGGACGAUAAGACCCUAUAAAGCUUAAUAUUAAUAUUUAUUUAGUUAAAUUUUAAGAUUAUAAAAAUUUAGUAAAUAGAUUUAUUUUGUUGGGGCGAUAAGAAUAAAAUGAUUAUUAACUGUUAAAAUUGUUAGACAAAAAUAUGUGAGUGAAAUUGUAAAUGAUCCUUUAUAAAGAUUAAAAGUUUAAGUUACUUUAGGGAUAACAGCGUUAUUUUUUUUGAGAGUUCUUAUCGAGAAAAAAGUUUGCGACCUCGAUGUUGAAUUAAAAUAUCUGUAUAAUUGUAGUAGUUAUAUAAGAAGGUCUGUUCGACCU
rnacentral:rRNA from 1 species